rnacentral:rRNA from 1 species
AUUGAACGCUAGCGGCAUGCCUUACACAUGCAAGUCGAACGGAGUUGCGAACGGGUGAGGAAUGUAUCGGAACGUGCCCAUUAGCGGGGGAUAACUACGCGAAGGCGUAGCUAAUACCGCAUGCUUGUGGGGCGCCCUAUGUUGGAUUAGCUAGUUGGUGGGGUAACGGCUCACCAAGGCGGCGAUCCGUAGCUGGUUUGAGAGGACGACCAGCCACACUGGGACUGAGACACGGCCCAGACUCCUACGGGAGGCAGCAGUGGGGAAUUUUGGACAAUGGGGGAAACCCUGAUCCAGCCAUCCCGCGUGUGCGAUGAAGGCCUUCGGGUUGUAAAGCACUUUUGGCAGGAAAGCGGUACCUGCAGAAUAAGCACCGGCUAACUACGUGCCAGCCGCCGCGGUAAUAC